UGUCCCCCAGCCUGAGGUGCAGUGCUGCAUCUCUGGUCAGUUGGGAGUCUGAGAUGAAGCACUGUAGCUCGGGAAGGGAGAAGU
rfam:Ictidomys tridecemlineatus contig032792, whole genome shotgun sequence.